CCCUACGGGACGCAGCAGUGGGGAAUAUUGGGCAAUGGGCGCAAGCCUGACCCAGCAACGCCGCGUGAAGGAAGAAGGCCCUCGGGUUGUAAACUUCUUUUAACAGGGACGAAGAAAGUGACGGUACCUGUUGAAUAAGCCACGGCUAACUACGUGCCAGCAGCCGCGGUAAUACGUAGGUGGCGAGCGUUAUCCGGAAUGAUUGGGCGUAAAGGGUGCGUAGGCGGUCGAUUAAGUCUGGAGUGAAAGGUACCGGCUCAACCGGUAUAGGCUCCGGAAACUGAUGGACUGGAGUACAGGAGAGG
rnacentral:rRNA from 1 species